GCAGCUAUGAAGAGUAAGGAGAUGGAGGAGCAGAUCGAGAUCAAAAGGCUUCGAACAGAGAACCGGCUGCUCAAACAGCGGAUUGAGACCCUAGAGAAGGUGAGGGGUGUGGGUACCAGCUGCUGGGUUCCAAAUCUUUGCCUCAGAACACCCGGUAGCUAUUAAGGCUGGGACCAUCCCUCUGUUCUGAGGUAGCAGACUUAAGAAGCACGGGUAGGG
rnacentral:lncRNA from 1 species